CCUACGGGGGGCAGCAGUGAGGAAUAUUGGUCAAUGGGCGGGAGCCUGAACCAGCCAAGUCGCGUGAGGGAAGACGGUCCUAUGGAUUGUAAACCUCUUUAGGCGGGGAGCAAUGCCGGGCACGUGUGCCCGGAGGGAGAGUACCCGCAGAAUAAGCAUCGGCUAACUCCGUGCCAGCAGCCGCGGUAAUACGGAGGAUGCGAGCGUUAUCCGGAUUUAUUGGGUGUAAAGAGUUCGUAGGCGGUAUGUUAAGUCUGGUGUUAAAUGCAGAAGCUCAACUUCUGUUCGGCACUGGAUACUGGCAAACUAGAAUGCGGUAGAGGUAAAGGGAAUUCCUGGUGUAGCGGUGAAAUGCUUAGAUAUCAGGAGGAACAUCGGUGGCGUAAGCGCUUUACUGGGCCGUAAUUGACGCUGAGGAACGAAAGCCAGGGUAGCAAAUGGGAUUAGAUACCCGAGUAGUC
rnacentral:rRNA from 1 species